UAGAUUUAAAAGAGUACUGUGGGCAAAGCCCCAUCAACCAGUCGGACGCUGGACUAAUCCACUAGUUUACCUCAUAUCUAAGAUAAGACAAAAUGAAGAUAUGAACUUAUUAAAAUCACUAAAACAAAAUGUUUCACCCAGCCGAAACAACAUCUGGAAUUAUACUCCUAAAGAUGAUUUAUUCACAUUGGGGAACAAACACCCUUCUCAACUUUCUGCUGAGCAAUAUUUGGUAUAUAUAAAUUACAAAGAAUAUGAUAGACUACACAAUACUGCACCAUCAUCGUCAAAACAAGAUUCCAAACAAACAAAAUGCUGUUAUUGUUCCUGGCAAGAACCGUUUUUUUUUUAAGGAAGUUUUGUUUUGAAAAUAUUGAAAGGUAUUAAGAAAAUUUGUUAAACACUGGAAAAACACAAACUUAAAGAUAGCCACGAAUAUAUUCGAAAUGAUGUAUCAUGAGAACAUUCUUUAUAUAUCUUUGUUUUAUUAUUGUCAUAUUAUGUUGAAUAGUAUAAUAAAAAACUU